AUUAAAACUGCUUAUACCUAUGAUCACUUUUUCUAUUCCAUAGUAUAGGAAUAAUGAUAAAAGCCCUUCUCAUACCGCAUGAAUGAAGGGCCUUUGAAGCGAAUAAUUAGGAACAUCCAUUGGGAUGGAUUCCUCCAACCAUUUGCGUAGAAAAACGUGGUCAGUUGAGUCUUUCCGAGUAACUCAAAGUUUUCGACAGAAAAAUCUUUUUAAUAUAAACCGACCAUAAACUGGUCCAUUAGCAUCUUGUACACUGAACAACAUCAAAAGAAAAUGCAUUUUCUCUAUAAAUUUUGCACAUCACUUUUAAAACUUUAUUCAUCGUGAAACAAGUGCUGCACAAUUUUCACAAAUCUGUCAAAAACAAAACAUUUUAUAGCAACGCAACUGGAAUGGACAGUUUGUGAACUUUCAAGAUAGGGUUAAAGAUCAACAUGCAACUGUGUACAAUGGUAAUUAAACGUUUGAACCAUUGUAGAAUAUUUUUAUGAAUAUAUCGUAUAAGAAAUAGAUGUUUGCGCGUAAUAACACUAUAAUGUUGAAAUCCUUGCCUAUAACAUAUCAUUAUGAUCAACAUUGUACUGUUUGUGUAUCGAAUUAAACUUUUUAGACGAGUAUAUUAAGCUUUUCUGGGGAAUGGUACAUUCUGGGUAAUGGAUUUCUGGGGAAUGGAUUUCUGGGAAAUGGUACAUUCUGGGGAAUGGUACAUUCUGGGAAAUGGUUUUCUGGGGAAUGGAAUUCUGGGGAUUGGUAUUCUGGGGAAUGGUUUUCUGGGGAAUGUUAUAGAAUCGAUCGAGCAAAUAUAAAGUUAUAGUGCCUGAAGUUAAAUCUUUGGACGAAAGGAAAAGAAAAUCAGCCAGAGAAACUCUGCUGACGGUUUUAUUACACAUCCUUUUAAUAAAAACAA